rnacentral:rRNA from 1 species
UACGUAGGGUGCGAGCGUUUAAUCGGAAUUACUGGGCGUAAAGUGUGCGCAGGCGGCCGCGCAAGUCGAGUGUGAAAGCCCCGGGCUUAACUUGGGAAUUGCGCUCGAAACUACGUGGCUGGAGUGUGGCAGAGGAAGGUGGAAUUCCAGGUGUAGCGGUGAAAUGACGUAGAGAUCUGGAAGGAACACCGAUGGCGAAGGCAGCCUUCUGGGCCAACACUGACGCUCAUGGCACGAAAGCGUGGGGAGCAAACAGG